CAGCCGCCACGGUAAUACGUAGGGUGCAAGCGUUAAUCGGAAUUAUUGGGCGUAAAGGGCUCGCAGGCGGUUUCUUAAGUCUGAUGUGAAAGCCCCCGGCUCAACCGGAGAGGGUCAUUGGAAACUGGGAAACUUGAGUGCAGAAGAGGAGAGUGGAAUUCCACGUGUAGCGGUGAAAUGCGUAGAGAUGUGGCGGAACACCAGUGGCAAAGGCGACUCUCUGGUCUGUAACUGACGCUGAGGCGCGAAAGCGUGGGGAGCAAACAGGAUUAGAUACCCCAGUAGUCCCUGUCUCUUAUAC
rnacentral:rRNA from 1 species